rnacentral:rRNA from 1 species
GACGAACGCUGGCGGCGGGCUUAACACAUGCAAGUCGAACGGAAAGGCCCUGCUUUUGUGGGGUGCGCGAGUGGCGAACGGGUGAGUAACACGUGAGUAACCUGCCCUUGACUUUGGGGUAACUUCAGGAAACUGGGGCUAAUACCGGAUAGGAGCGCCUCCUGCAUGGUGGGGGUUGGAAAGUUUCGGCGGUUGGGGAUAGACGCGCGGCUUAUCAGCGUGUUGGUGGGGGAGUGGCUUACCAAGGCUUGGACGGGUAGACGGCCUGGGAGCGGGACCGGCCACAUUGCGCCUGCGAUACGGCCCAGACUCCUACGGGGCGCAGCAGUGGGGAAUAUUGCACAGCGGGCGGGAGUCUGUUGCAGCAGCGCCGCGUGCGGGAUGUCGGCCUUCGGGUGGUAAACCGCUUUCGCCUGUGACGAAGCGUGAGUGACGGUAAUGGGUAAAGAAGCACCGGCUAACUCCGUG